rnacentral:piRNA from 1 species
UAAUGCAGGUGCAGUAACUC